rnacentral:rRNA from 1 species
AGUAGGGUGCCAUCAAGAGGUGUAUUUUGAAAUAUCCC